GCGGAGCUCUCAGGGAUGGCCCAACUAGGUGCGAUAGCAGCGCUAUCUGUUAGUUUUUUGGCUGCAACUCUCUUCUCUGCAGUACACAAAAUUGAAGAAGGACAUAUUGGUGUUUAUUAUAGAGGUGGCGCAUUGCUGACUUCCACCAGUGGACCUGGCUUCCACCUUAUGCUCCCCUUUAUAACCUCCUACAAAUCUGUGCAGACUACAUUGCAGACAGAUGAGGUGAAAAAUGUUCCUUGUGGUACCAGUGGGGGAGUGAUGAUUUAUUUUGACAGGAUUGAGGUGGUGAAUUUCCUGAUCCAAGGUGCUGUGUAUGACAUAGUGAAGAACUACACAGCAGACUAUGACAAAGCACUCAUCUUCAACAAGAUUCACCAUGAGCUGAACCAGUUCUGCAGCGUUCACACUCUUCAGGAGGUCUACAUUGAGCUGUUUGAUCAGAUUGAUGAAAACCUUAAACUGGCUUUGCAGCAGGACCUGACCACCAUGGCUCCUGGACUCAUUAUACAGGCAGUCCGCGUCACGAAGCCAAACAUUCCAGAAACGAUUCGGAAGAAUUAUGAACUCAUGGAGAGCGAGAAGACAAAGCUGCUGAUCGCGGCUCAGAAGCAGAAGGUCGUGGAGAAGGAAGCAGAGACGGAGAGGAAGAAGGCCCUGAUUGAGGCAGAAAAAAUUGCCCAAGUGGCCGAAAUAACGUACGGACAGAAGGUGAUGGAAAAGGAAACGGAGAAGAAAAUUUCAGAGAUUGAAGAUGGUGCAUUCCUUGCUAGGGAGAAGGCAAAAGCUGACGCCGAAUGCUACACUGCCAUGAAGAUAGCAGAGGCUAACAAGCUGAAACUAACUCCUGAGUACUUGCAGCUGAUGAAAUACAAAGCUAUUGCAUCAAACAGCAAAAUCUAUUUUGGCAAAGAUAUUCCCAACAUGUUUAUGGACCACACGGGGAGCAAGCCUGCAGAGGGACUGGUGGAAGAGAUGAAAGGAGAGAAUUGGGCCGCUGCCACUGAGGAUUUGUGAAACCAUUUUAUAACACCUAAUGACCUUGCAAAAUUUUUGUUUAUUUUUUAACAGAUGAAACAAACUGAGAAGUUGGUUUCCCCUUUUGAUUUUUUCACUGUUCUGUGCUGAAGCAGAUGAGCCAGACUUAACCCUCUCAACCUUUUGUCUAGAAAUCAGUUUAGACACAAAUGUUUUGAUAUUCACAGACCAUUUUUUGGUUACUUCUCAAGCCAGGUUCAGCUCUGCACUGUAUUUUGACCCCUCCCUUUUGGAGGCCUGGUUAUUCUGUAGCAGGGGGGAGAAUCCUGCAAAUUUCCAGCAGGAUGAUUUGUUGUGUGGUUAGGUUGAUUAAAUGAAACUUUGAGUUCUGCAUGAGCAGUUAUAGCAAUUGGGAUACGGGAGGCAAUGCCCUUCUUUGCUGCUGGAAGCUGUCAUUUCUUUUGUUGGAGAUUCCCAGUACAUUUUUUGAGCCCUUUGAAAGAGACAGAUGUUCUAGGAUUUCUGUACACUACAUAUCCCAGCUUAAGCAAGGCAGCACAGAUAUGGUGGCAGAGAUUGUUAGUUUCCCAUGUCCUGAGAUCAGUGUUUUUACAUGGUCCACAUUUUGUAGAGGGAUAAGGAGGUUCUAAAUUCUGUAAUUCUCUUUCUAGAAAAUCAUCUGUAGAAGUGAUGCUACCAGGUCAGGGUUGAGGUGCUCUGGUGCGGGCAGCGUGAGCAUUCCCUGUUCCUGUUCUCUGGCUAAAUGGGACAUCAGUCUCCCAAGAUGCCAAUAUAUGGUACCUUUCACCAACAUCUAAUUGAUUUUUAGGAAAAGUAGCUUACAAAACAAUGAAUCGUUCAGACCCCCCAUCUUGCAAAUACUUUUGCAGGUGAGUAGCUGUGCUCAGGUGAAUGGUCUCAUUGACUUAUCUCCAUAUGUGUUUGUAGGAUUGGGGCCUACAUUUGAAAUAGCCCAGUAUGGUUCAGUGGCUGCCAUACAUUAUCAGGAAGAGAAUGUUCAGACAAGUUGAAGUGAAUGGCUAAUUUAGACCUCGUGUAGGCAUUUUGAUUCAUGUUUAGCAGGGGCAUACGAAACGCAGUAUUGUAUAGUCCCAGGGAGAAACAGUUGCCCCUGUUGUCUUUAGACAAUUCAGAAAGAACAAUUUAUCCUUCUCCCCCUCCAGAAUGAUGCUGUAAUACAUGUGGUCCAUUAAGGUGCAAUUUGAUUUUCCAUAGAUUUUUGGUGUGUGUGUGUGUAUAUAUAUACGCAAAUUCAACUGGGGGAAAAUAAAGGGCUUAGCAUAAUUCAGGGCAGGAGAGAACAUCUGUUCCCCUCAGGCCAUCUCCUCCCACUUGGCAGGAAAGCCUGUUUAUUAAUCACUGUUUUAUUUUGCAACCUACACACAGAUACAUGGUGGCUCCAGCCAGAGUGCAAACACCGUUGUCAGUGGCCAGCUUAUUUCAUGUAUAAUCUGUUGUUCCAUAUCCUGCCACCUGCUGCGUUGGUAUUAGCGUGCUAAACUCAUCAGAGUGCUCAGCCUGUCUGGGUGUUUUUGUAACAACACAGCCCCAGUCAGAUAGAAACGUGAUGAAUUUCUGCUGCUUCCAAUAUUUUUCACAUUCGUUUUCUUUAAUAUUUUCACAGCUUGAAUGACUACUACUUUGCCUGUACUUGAAAAUGUAAAAUGAAAGCUGCCAUCAGUUACUGCAUGAGAGAACUGAUAACUCUAUUUGCGGUAUAUCUCUUCCUAUAUAUUUUUUUACUUACUGGAAAACCUGAGGUUUAUACCUUAAAUUCAGAUUCCAGACUGAUAUACUACAUUAGACAACACUGCAAUAGAAAAAUCAAAUCACUACCCCAGCUCUCACAUAACUAGCAUUUGCAAAUAGGAUUCUGCGCAGAGCACAGGAAGAGCGUGGGAAGAGCAGAACUUUUCUUUUUUUGCGGGUCGGGGUUGCGGUUUAUACUGAGGGUAGUCUCACUCGUUCAGGAUUGCUCACACUGAUGGUAAAUAUUUGCAUCUAGUAACUAAUGCGUAGUUUUUAAUCAAACAUUUUUUACUAGCCAAAAAAAAAGCCAAAGUGUAUUGAACCAUUUUAUAUGACUUUCAUGUAAAAAUAUGUGGAAUAAAUAGGACUUUUUUUACCAUACAAUUUCACUAUAAAAGAAUGAGGAAAAACAGAGAAAAAGAAGUAGCCAAUAUUAGUAUAAUGUUAAUUUAAAACACAAUCGUACAGCCUAAUUGUUCCGCCUGGGUAACAGCUUAGGGUGUGUCUACACUGCAGCAGCGAGCAUGCCGCCCCACCCAUCUAGGCAGAGUGGUGCUAGCUCGGCUUGAGCUAGUGCACUAAAAAUAGCAGUGUGGACACUGUAGCUCAUUCACGCUAUUUUUAGCUGCGCUGGCAUGAGUUUGUCUGCCCGGGCUGGGGGUUUGCUUCCUGCUGCAGUGUAGCCAUGCCCUUAGUUACUGCAGCUUGUGAGAUGAUAAAGUGAAAUCUUAGCAUAAUUGGGGGGUUUUAUCAUAAUUUAGCUAGAGCAAAGCUGACGCCAUGCCUUUCUCUACCAGACUGAAUUCAGUGUUGGCAUCUGAUACAGUUUCUUCAUUAUUUUAUAUCUUUAACUUCUUUUGCCUUCCAGAGUAAAUUUGCUACUAUAUUUGACUCUAUUCCAUCUCUUCCUUGUGAGCAUAGUGACAAGAUGUCAGCUAGGUCUUUGUUUUUGUUCUUUCUUUCUUUCCUGCAUGCAAAUUUGCAAUGAGCAUUGGAAUAUGUAAAAUCACUUGUUUAAUGAAGGGACUACAAGGGGUAUGUGAAUAGUCAUGUUUGGGAAUCCCUGAUUGAGGCAUGAAAAUAACUGCAUUGGCAGAGGAAGUUCUGACCUGGGCAAGCAUUGGAAGUGAUUCAUUGGAAUAAAAAAGCCGUUUUAUUUUGCUAUUUGUUAUAAUGACUGAAUAAAAGUUUUUUCACUUGUA